GUAAAGUAAAGUUCUGUUUCCAUGGGAAUAGAAUAGUAUCUCAUACUGGUUUUUUAAAAUAGUAAGUUGAAUUUGAGAAGGGCAAUCAUCUAUACCCACAUGGCUUAACUAUAGGGACUGAGAACGGAGACUACCUGUGGGUUAUUUGAGGACAUUUUGCUUCCUGUUUUUUCUUUUUUUUUUUUUUUUGAAGACAUUUUGAUUUUUACUUUGGCCAUUUUUAUUUCUCUAAUGAUGAUAAUCAAGAAGAAAAGCACGCUAAUGGAGUUUCUCUCAUCAGUAUAUCUUUUAUCAGUAUAUAGGCUCAUUCGUACUGCCAAGAGGGUUCAGAGUUCAUGUGAGCGUCAGGACUGGAAGAUACCUUAUAUAGAUCACCUUUUCUAAAUAUCUCCUUUUUCACCAGGAAAAAUUGAGAUUCUGGGACAAUAGACCCUUUUUUAUUUUGGCGAGAGGUGCUAAAGUUGGGCUACUUUAAGAAACAUCACUUCUUCUCCAAGCCUCAAGUUUUUUACUCAACCAAACUGAAUGACUGCUUGUCCUCUUGAAACCAGCCUGGACUUGCCUGAGAAGACAAAGUGGUUUCAUUAUUUGCUGUGACUCACAAAGAAAACUCCAUGCUAGCAUUAAGAUGGAACACAGGAAAGGAUGGAGGAAAAGGGAAUGCAUCCUUCUAAAGGUGACCAAGCUGACAGUGAUGGUGAAGAGGAUAAUCAGACAGAUUAGGCUAUUUCAAAAUGGUAUGGCCAUGGUGAAGAGGAUAAUCAGAACAAAGGACAAGGAUGGCCUUAACCUUGGCAAUGUCAGCACAGAUAAAGAGACCAAGGUCACACAGCUUUAUGUGACAGAGCUGGAAUCCAGUCCUAUGUCUGGGUGUCUCCAAAGCCCAUGCUCUGAACCUCAAGGAUGUGGUGUCUCCCUAAGGAAAAAUGAUAGUGAGACUGGACAAGACUGCACAGGCAUGGAAACUAAGCCUAAUGAAGCCACCACAGAGGACCCCACAAGUUUUGGGGAUUAAAUUCAAAAUAAUUCAAGGAGGAUCCAUUAGGGGUUAUUUUAGUUAUCUCUUGCCACAUGAGAAAACUCCCUAACUUGUAGUAUCUUAAAACUACAACAAUUUGUUAUUUCUCACAAUUCUAUGGGUUAGGAGUUCAGGCAUGGCUUGGGAUAAAUUGUUCUUCUCCUCUGUAUGGUGUAGACUGACUCACUCAGCUUUAUGCAAUUGGUAACUGGGCAGUCCUGGAAUGCAAAGGAGGCCGUAUUCAAUGUCUGGCGCUUAGUGCUUUUCUUUGUGGCCUUUCCACAUGGCAAGCUGGGCUUCUUCACAGCAUAGUGGUCUCAGAGCAGGUUCCCAAGAUGGAGGAAGUAGAAACCAACAGUCCUGUUUAAGGCUAGGCCUGGAACUAGAAUGUUGUCACUUCUGUGUAUUCUACUGGUGAAAGCAUACAUCUUCUCCUGCCCUCGGACACCAGUGCUUCUGGUUCUCAAGGCUUCAGACUCCUGCCAGGAUUUACACAAUUGAUCCUCCAGUUUUCAAGCCAUUGUAUUCAGACUGAAUUAUAUCACUGACUGUCCUGGUUCUUUAGCUUGCAGAUGGCAGAUUCUAUAAUCUCUCUCUCUCUCUCUCUGGCUCUCUCUCUCUGUCUCUCUCUCUCUCUCUCUCUCUAUAUAUAUAUAUGCAUAUGUAUGUAUACACACACACUAUCUAUCUCUAUAUCUCUCUAUAUAUCCUAUUGGUUCUAUUUCCCUGGAGAACACCGACUAAUAGGUCAUGUUAAGAAAAAAGACCUCAAACCUGUAAAUAAAGCCAGGAGAUGAUUUUGAUAUCA
rnacentral:lncRNA from 1 species